UAUGCUCAUUGUUUACGAGUAUACAAAGGGAGACAAGCAAAAAAAACUUGCUAAAUGAUUUAUCUAAAUUAUUUAUUUUAUUAUAUAAUGAAAAAUCAAAAAGAAAUUUGUUAUAUGAUUGUCAUAAGGAUAAGAAUAUUAAUUUUGAAGAUGAUGAACAUAAAUUAAAUCGUAUUUUUAAAAAAGAUUGUGUAGUUAUUAAAACCCUUAAGAAUAAUAAGAAUUAUACAAAAUACGAAGAAUGGUUAAAUGAGUGUUUUGAUAAAUUUUUAAAUUUACUAUUUCAGUUAAUAAAUAAUGAUGAUGAAGUAUAUGUAAAAAAAGGUUUAUUUCUGUUAUUUAGUAGCUUACAAAUGGAGUCUACGAUAUAUGAACGUGUAGCAAAAAAAAUAGACGCCUCUAUAGAUUUUAUAGAUAAUCACCAUGUUGUGACAAGCAACCGCCUUGAUAAUAACAACUACCACAAUAAUAUUACCAAUUAUUGUGACUACAUGCAAGGCAAGUAUAAUAAUAAUAAUAAUAAUAAUAAUAAUAACAAUAAUAAUAAUAACAACAAUAAUAAUAACAAUAAUAAUAAUAACAAUAAUAAUAAUAACAAUAAUAAUAAUAACAAUAAUAACAAUAAAAAAGUUGCAUUCCCUAUUAAAUUAUAUAGAAAGAUUGUUUUUCAUUUUUUAACCAUGCCACAAAUGAAAUUAAGCAUUAUAAAAUAUAUCUGUAAAAAAUACAUAUGCUAUUAUUUCGAUUUAAAUUAUUUUUGUUUAUCACUUUUUAAACACUUUUUUCAAAAUAAAAAAAGUGAAACUGUUAAUAAUGUUGUCCACGAUUCUAACGAUUUGAAUGUUGUAACUGAGGGAGUAAGAAUGGGUAGUAUAACUCACGGAGACAUAUCAUUAACAGAUGAUAAUACUUCAAAAAAUCGAAUUUAUUCAAAUUUAUUCAUGCUGUGUAUGUUAGUUAAUUCAAUCAAACCAGAGAAAAAAGUGCAAAGGUUUCAUAUUAAAAAAAAAGAUUUUCUGAAAAAAGAAAAAAUUGAUAGUAUGUAUAUUUAUUUUGAUGAGGAAGAAAGAGAAAUGAUAAAAAAACGAAAAUACAUAGAAAGGAAAAAUAGGCAAAAUAAAAAAAAAGUGAAAACGUUGUGUGAUUAUGACUCAGAUUAUAGUAUUGUACAUUCAGAGUCGAGUUCUUCAUCUGAGUCUGUUCAAGAUGGUUCAUAUCAAAGUGAUAUUAAUUCCGCCAGUUAUAAUAGCGACGAUUUAGGGAGCGACGAUUUAGGGAACGACGAUUCAGACAGUAAUAAUGAAGAAAGUAACCAAUUGGAUGGAGAUCAUUUUCUUAACUCUGAAUUAAUUAACAAUAUAAUAUACUCUAGUAGUGACGAUGAUGAUGAUUCAGAUAAGAAACAAAAAAAAAAAAAACGCUUGACAUCAUAUGAAAAAAGAAAUAAAUAUAAAAAACAAACUUUUAAUGAUAAAAUACAAAAUUUAUUUAUAAAUGUAAAUAUAACAAAUAAAAAAUAUAGUAAUCUUUAUUCAAGUAGUUGGUCAUAUUUUAUAACAUCAUUUAAUCAUGAAUAUGAUAUGACGUUACAGAUUUUAUAUGCUAUACCUUUAUUUGUUUUUCCUUAUACAAAUAACCCAUAUUAUAUAAUUGACUUUUUUAAUUACGCUUUUUAUUCAACAAACAAUUUAUAUUUAUCGCUUUCUGCCUUACCGGGGAUGUUUUAUAUAUUAACAGAAUUGAAUUUAGGGAAUAUAUGUGAUGUAAACAUACAGUCUUAUAUGAAGGAUAAUCAUACAAAUAUGAUAAAAAAAGAAAAACCAGAAUUUAAAAUAAAAAAAGAGAAGGAAGACAACGUGUUGGUUGAUUUGGUUAGUGAUAUUGUGGAUGAGCAGGGAUCAAACGAAAAAGGAUUUGAUGAAAAAGGAUUAGACGAAAAAGAAUUAGACGAAAAAGAAUUAGACGAAAAAGGAUUUGACGAAAAAGGAUUUGACGAAAAAGGAUUAGACGAAAAAGAAUUAGACGAAAACGGAUUUGACGAAAAAGGAUUUGAUGAAAAAGGAUUAGACGAGGUAGUGGAACUUUCCGAAGAUACGAGUGAUGUCCGAUCGAAACCAGACUUAGAAAAAAAUGACAUAAGAGCACAUGAAACAAAUGACAAUGGUGACGUAAGUAAAAAUACACACAAAAUUGAGAAAAAAAUAAAUGAUAAUAUGUACACAGACUAUUACUUGAAACUGUUUGAAUUAAUAACUCCAGCCAGUUUUUAUUUCGAUGACACAAAAUUACUAAAAAUAAUACAUUUAUCAUUAAAAAAUAAAAUGAUUCCUUUAAAUUACGUUUUAUCAUUUUUAAAAAAGCUGAUACGAGUUACUUGUUUGACAUCUUAUAAUAUAUCUAUUAACAUUUUAAGUGUAGUAUAUGAUGUAUUAAAUUAUUUUGCAUCAGAUUUAAAAGACGCUUUGUCUGUUUCUACAUCUGUUUUUAUGAACAUGGUUAUAAAAGAAGAUUUUUUUUUUUAUGACAACUUGGAAAGUAAUUUCAAUAAAAAUCGUAUUUUUGCCAUGUUGAUGGAAAAUGCGAAUUUAUUAAAAGAAAGUCAUGACAUAAAAAAAGGAAAUAAUAUUGAUCUUAUUUCUAUAGUCAAAGUAAAAAAAGAAAAAGAUGAUUUGGAGGAUAAAACAAAUAACUUAGCAGACGAAAAAAGUAAACAUGAUAAAAAUACCCACCAUUCAUUAAAUUCAUUAACAGAAGAAACAACCAUUAAUAAUGAUACUAAAAAUAAGAAAAAUACCAAUAUAGAAAAUGAGUUGGUACAAAAAAAAUUAUUUAAUUUAAAAGAUUGUUUACCAGAUAAGUAUAAAAUUGAUAUGAACAAAUUAAGUAAACAACAGAUAUAUAUGGCUAG
ensembl:lncRNA